rnacentral:tRNA from 1 species
GCCGCGAUAGCUCAAUGGUAGAGCAUCCGCCUGAAGAGCGGAGUACAGUAGUUCGAUUCUACUUCGCGGCA